rnacentral:lncRNA from 1 species
CUAUUUGUGGGUUAGACUUGGACUUCGGCCACAUUUAAUAGCCCCUCCUGGAUCACUCCCCCCUUAGACAAGGUCAGCCUGAGCCUGCUUUGGGCAUACCCUGGGGAAGAUAUGGAUUCCUGCAAUGUUUUGGACUGUGAGUACAUCAGGAUGAAGAGUCUGUGUUGGUGUUUGUGGUGUACAGGCUUCUGAUUCAGGUAUUCCUGCUGUGUUACACAAUAGCUGUCUCAUGCAGCAAGCACUAGAGAACUACAGGUAAGAAG